GUCUCCUUUUUCUAAUCAGUGAAACUAAUCUCCCCGUGAAGAAGCGGGGAUACUACUAUAAGACGAGAAGACCCCAUGGAGCUUUAAACCCAACUACACCCCUAUUUACAACAACUACUUAACCAAUUGGACACUGUAUGCUUGGUUUUAGGUUGGGGCGACCACGGAGUAAAAAAUAACCUCCACGAUAAAUGGGCUUACCCCCUUAUCUAAGAGCCACACCUCUAAGAAUUAAAACAUUAAUAUAAUAUGAUCCUUUCUUGAUCAACGGACCAAGUUACCCUGGGGAUAACAGCGCAAUCCAUUU
rnacentral:rRNA from 1 species